UUAUUCAUUCGAUAUAAAUAACAUUCUGUAUGAAAGCUAUACAGAUUCUCUAUUCGAGCCGGAAAUAUUCCAAAUACGUACUUGAACCUCUAUAAACAAAUAUCAUAUGCGGUAAUACACAUAAAGCAAUUAUCUACCAUACCUCUCAUUCGUAUUUAUUAUUUCAAAUUAGAAUCUCUUUAAGAAAUAGAUUCUUGUCCUUUUCUUUUCUCGAUUUUUACUUUGGUUUCGAACGUUGAGAAAUCCUCUGUUGAAAUAUGAGAAUCUUUUACAAUUUGAUCUGACGAUACUUAAAUUUACUUAUCGGAUACCAUAAAAAUAUAAAAAUAUUAUUUUCUUAUUUUAUGCAUCUUAUUUGAUCAUCUUUUAUUGAAGCGAUGAUUAACGCGUUCUUUGCUGAGUAUCGUUACUGAGUCAUUGUCGGAGAUUGUCAAAUGAAGAGUUGGAAAAUUUUCAGAGAGAAAGAGAGAAUCAAGUUUCACGGUAUAAGCAUCGGAUAAAUUUCGUAGAAAGAUUAAUCGUUAACACGACGUACUAUCGAUAAUGGAAAUUCGAUCGGCGGUGAACGCGUUAAAGAGCAUGAACAAAGGUUGGUACAGUUGACUGAAAAUUUCCUAAGCAUUCCUGUGUCACGUCGCGCGAGCUAAUUUGAAAUCGCCGGCGAAUGAACCGAGCCGACCGAGUUUCAAAACCUUCGCUCCGUGCUUGUCCGCUGUUUUAUGCAUCGUGCAAACACGUGCGUGGUUGAUCCGUGGAUAUCGUUAAUUAGUCAGCAAACAGGAUGGUUAUUCGAAUAACUGGAAUAAACAAAAAUAAAGACCUACGUAUGAAAAUAAAGUGCGGUGGCAUUCCUUUUGAUACGAGCGACUCAAAUGCCUAUAAAUAUCUGUUUCUGAAAUUUGUUAAUGCUUUGUACGUUGAUUCAUCGAAUAUUAAAAGACAAUCUUACGCUUAAAAAGCUGACACAAGCCAAUGACCUUGUUACGUCUCAAUGAUAAUAUAAUAAUUUCAUUGUAACCAAAGGUUUACAGAUAUCAACGUGUUAAUUGGCAAAUACAUUUUCCGGCAUUUUUUAAUUUGAAUUUUUUCAUUUUAAAUUGAUUCAUGGAAUAUUAAAAGACAAUCUUACGCUUAAAAAGCUGACAUAGGCCAAUGAUCUUGUUACGUCUCAAUGAUAAUAUAAUAAUUUCAUUGUAACCAAAGGUUUGCAGAUAUCAACGUGUUAAUUGGCAAAUACAUUUUCCGGCAUUUUUUAAUUUGAAAUUUUUCAUUUUUUUUUUUCUUUAAGGUACUGUACUUUAAUUGUACUUUCACGCAAUUUUAAAAGUAAUUUCGUUGUAUAUUACAUUCGUACGAAUAUUUGUAUCAAAUAUAUACAUCGAUAUUAUUUUAAAAGAUGUUUGUUUCUUGGGAAUCGCGAUUAAUGAAAAGACAAACUUUUCUUUUUUUUUUUGCCAAUUCCCAUAUAGGUUGUUAAACGUUAUGCGAACUAUAGCUAAAACGUAUAAAUAUAUUUAUUUAUAUAUUUAGAUGUUUUCAACGUCUAGGUGGAAAAAUACGACGAAAGGCGAAAUAUUUUGAUAGCCUUCGUACGCAGAUGUUCUAUCUCGAAAAUUUCAACGAGACACUUCGAUGAAACGCGUAAUUAUGCAAUCGAUUAGAAUACUAUUAAUACAUUACAACAACAGUGAUUCCUCAAAUGAGAAGUUAAAUGUGGAAAUUACGCGAACCAAUGAGAGCUUAUGCCAACGUAUUUAUUUCGAGAUUCGGCUUCGGCUUUUGCGGUUUGUGGGGAAAGUACAGGCCUCAAGUUGCUCGUUAAUCACUCUACCUGAUGAUAUACGUAUGGACAUUUAAUCGAAUCAAGGUACUUCCUACCAAAACCUUGACCACCAUCGAUGAAAUAGUAUUAGAUAAAAUGCGAUAGAAAACGAUAGAGAACAAUAGCAAACUCUGUAUCAAUACCAAAAUUCAUGUAAACUUCUAUUUCUUUUUCAUGUACAUAUUACUACGACUUUCUUUAUAAACUAACGCUUCUAAGUUUUUUUUUUAAUUUAAUUUCUUUUAUCUUUUGAUAAAAAAUUUAUUUCAUGAAUUUAACAGAUUAUUAAGCGCAGAUUGUGUGUCGAUUUUUGUCAAAUUUCUACAAAUUGAAUUAUUACUAAUAGAAACAGAAUUUUUAAGUAUUCCUGGAAAGAGAAUAUAAUUGACUAACAAUAAAAUUCAAGACCAAUUUUAUUGCUAAGACAAAUACUUUUGACUUGUCACGGUACAAUAUUAGAUACAUUACACACGCAAUAUCGAGCGUGAAAAGUUUGGCAAAUAUAGUUGAAAAAUAUUUGUCUUGUAUAUAUCUAUUUCGCAUAAUAUUAUAUCCGUUUUAGAUGAUUCAGAAAACUAUUAGACAUAUUUCAUAGCUAAUUAAAUUCUUUUACCACUGUACGCGUUAAUUUAUGUUAUACACAACGUGCAAUGUGAAAAAAAUUAAAGUGUACAGUUUAGAAAUAUUUAUUUUGUAUAUGUACUUUUCCAUCGCGUUAAAUUUAUUUUACACGAGUUAUAAGUUUAUCGCGUUCCAAAGCUCGGUGUGUUAUUUUACUAAUGUGCUUUUUAAGCGGAUUAUUGAAAAAAGAUUGUCUUGUACGAUUAAUCGAAUUUUGUAUAUUUACUUUUCCAUCUCGUUACAUUUAUUUUACACGAGUUAUAAGUUCAUCCUGUUCCAAAGCUCGGUAUGUUAUUUUCCUAAUGUGCUUUUUAAGAGGAUUAUUGAAAAAAGAUUGUCUCGUACGAUUAAUUUACUUUUCCAUCGCGUUACAUUUAUUUUACACGAGUUAUAAGUGUAUCGUGUUCCAAAGCUCAGUAUGUUAUUUUACUAAUGUGCUUUUUAAGAAGAUUAUUGAAAGAAGAUUGUUUCGCAAUAAGAUUAAUCGAAAGUCUCGCAGCCAAGCUCGCAGAAAGGUAGCGUGCUUCCUCCUACUCGUCAUUUACUUGCUUAUAAAUUGUUUCAUAUCGUGAUUUACAUUAAUGUUACGCAUGUUCGCGAAUUAAGGAAAUUACCCUUGCACGUGACUGUCAUAUACGAUCCAGCGUAAUGACGUAUAAUUAAGAAACAUAUCCGUGUAACGUGGCUGUACCAACAAUAACGUUGCAAUUAAAAGAGUGGACAAUUUCGUUCAGCUCGUAACGCAAGAUUGAGAGGAAAGACGAGUCAGACUAGUUGAACGUAUUCGAGUCGUUGAACGUAAUUGAACGUAUCGCGUGUAGCAAUAUACAAGAAGAACGACAAGAGUGACAGAUUUUCAAGAAAACAAUAUAAUCGUACAAGUUGAAAAGAAUUUACGUAUCUGAUACGUUCGGAAGAAUAAGUGAGACGCUGUAAAAAUUGAUAGAAAAUUAAACUAGAAAUUUUGCCAAGAUACCUCGAAGAUUUUCUGAAACGUUGAAUCUAGAAAGCUGUUCAAAGAUUUGGAAAAAUGAAACUAAAUAUUCCACGGAAUCUCCUGUGAAAGGUAAAUCGAACAUUUUGUUAAAUUCUACCAAGUUGUACUCAACGUUCUAAUUAAAUCCGCAAAUUCGUAUUAGGCAAUUUUAGAAAGCAGCGGCUCUUAGGAAGAAUAGAAAAUUAAACUGAAAGACAUUCGAAGCUCUAAAAAAUUGCGAAAGAAUCGUAAACGCGUUUCUCUCCUCGCAAAAAUCUUUCGCAAGAAGAGAAAAAUUUCACGAAUAGCAACGAUCGAGUCGAAAAGGCUACAACAACGACCCAAGUAUCAAGGCCAAGGAUUGAUAUACUCGGAUCGACGAACAACUUUUCAUCAAAGUCAGGGAAUUAAGUGACGCGUUAUAUCAUAUCCCUUGUUAUCUCAACGAUGAUAUCCUUUCAGGCAACCACGAUAUCGAAACGUUCUUUAUCUCUACGUAGUUUAAAUAUCCUCUAGUCAACUGCGGUAUGAAAUGCCAGAUUAAGAAUACUUAAGUCUGUAACGCGGUAUGCCACAAGGACCUUGAAUUCUUCACUUUAAUCGUCCAUUGCAAUUAUCUUGGACUUAGUUAAAUCCAACAACUAGGAACUCUAAGAUAUUAUAAAUCUGUUGACAAUUGUGGAUCUUAAUUGCCGAAAUAAAAGUAAAGGAACACUAAGGUUACACUUAGAAUUCAUAUUAAAAUAGUUUUAGAUCUAUUUAAUAAACGAUUUCCAGGAUCUUCGUCGAUAUACAUUUGCACGCGUCUCGGCAUUCUCUUUGUCUCGCCAUCUUCCACCCCACACUGCCAACGGAACAGUUAGAUUCGUCUGCUUUUCGAGACACAUACAUACUUUCGCACACACAUACUUUCACACACUCAUAUUCACAUACGUGUGUCACUACUACGCGGCCAAUCUAGUCUAGCACACAAAAUUAUAAAUAUCUCAAUAAAAUCAAUUCGAGUCUCGAGUAAUAUUAAUUGUCGAUUUUUAUUUCGUUCAAAUUGGAUAGAACAAGCGGAUUCAACGGCGAAGAACGUGUCAAAUUUACGUGGUUUUCCUCUCGCGGAGUAAUUAUGCCGAGGAAUGUGACGGAAAACGACGAUUAUCCUGCAAACUGUUUCCUUCCUCUGGCGUAUCUCUUCGUCAAAUACGCGGCAACAAGGAUAACGUAUGUGAGAACGAAUCUCUCGAUUGGUUAUCUUAGGAGGAACAAAAGCAUCUAUUGUUCGCCGAACCUUCUAAUUAUGAGAAUUCUAAUGUAACGUCACAAGGAGGAACUAAGAAAUACGUACGCUCGUCGUAAAAAUCAGGUCGGUAACAAAAACGUGAGAGGUUAGUUUUCCAAAUGUCUAUAAAACAAGAGAAGAGGAAGAUUAUUGAGAUAUGUGUAAUUUUGUGUGCUACACUAGAUUAACCGCGUAGUAGUGACACACAUAUAUGAGUAUGAGUGUGUGGGAGUAUGUGCGCGCACAGCGUCUCGUAAAACAGAAGAAUACAACCGUUCCGUUGGUAAUGCGGUAAAAAAGAUGGCGAGACAAAGAAAGUACCGAGACGCGUGCAAAUGUGUAUCGACGAAUAUCUUGUAAAUCACAUAUUAAAUAAAUCCGAAACUAAUUUGAUAUCGAUUCUAAGUGUAAUCUAAGUGUUCCUAUACAUUUAUUUCGGCAAUUAAGAUCCACACUUCUCGACAAAGAUUACCAUUACCAGCCUUGUUUGCGUUCAAUUAGAGAGACAUCAAAGCGACUGAUCGAUGGAAGGAAAGGGAAUAUUUGAAACACUGAGAUAAAAUAGAUAAUUUUAAAUUGUUAUUCUUGUGAAACAAUUUAAUUUAUAUGUACUUUGUUUUAUUUAUAUUUAUACGUAUAUUUGUAACUUUUUGAAAUGUUUCUAAUUUAUUAAUUAAAUUUAUUACGUAGAUUCCUUACCUUGUUUUCCAUAAUCUAGGUAACGCAGUAUCGAUAGAAUAACCUCAUUAAUGGAAAAUAAUCGCAAUUGAUUUACAACAAAAGGUAAUUACCAAUCAAAUAAAUUCGGACUUUUAACGUUCGCUUUUUCAUUUCGUCGCGUACUUAGAACAUUAAACGGGAAUAAAAAUGAAACAUUUAUAGGUAACAGAAAAUGGCUAUAACUGGCAAUGUGUAAGUGAAAACCGCAAAAGUGGAAGCUAUCUUGCGGCCAUGUAACGUAUCCGCGUAAACACACGCACACGCAAAGUCACACACACGCCUGGUAGUGUACUCGAAAGUGGCCGUAAAUAAUCGUCGGAAGGACGUAAUAAAUACCGAGAGUUUCGGGGUAAGUAAACUUACGAGGUCGGGUGGUGAACGGAAAUUCCAUGCUCGUCGCUUCCGCCUUCCAUUUCAGCGCCCUUCUCC